GUAAUAAUUUAAAUAGUUAUCAGAGAUUUAAUACUGUAAAUACAAGGGUUUAAGGGAUUCCUAGCGGCAGGCAAGCCUGCCGAGGAAACAACAAGAGGUACAAGUAGACAAAGGGUGGAUGCAAUAGCCCCCGAGGGGGCUAUAGCUUUCGUAAUUAAUGAUCCUUCCGCAGGUUCACCUACGGAAA
rnacentral:misc_RNA from 1 species